AAAAUUAAAGCAAAUCUCCACGUCGUCAUCGAUUUUACCUGUUAAUGAACACUAACCGAUAGCAAUUGGGACAACGAGUAAAUUAGUUCCGAUGUUAAUAUAUAGGACUCACGUAUUUUUAUUUCAAAUGAAUUUUCCGGUUCGUAAAUUUACGUUAAGCUAAACCGAAAGUUAUUGGUAAAGAAAAUUUACAAACCGACAAUUCCGAUCAGAACCGUAAACGGAACAGCUUGACCACAUUUGAAAUUGAAAGGAGUGUUCCCGAGAGGAGAGGGGCUAAAAAGAAAAACGAGUGAAUUCAAAUUGGCGUUUCUCAAGCUUUUGACGUAUCUUCCCAAAAAUACACUCAUUUUUCUUCCAAUCCAAUCCCCCACCAAAAUCCCCACAAACCAUCAAUCCAUUGCCGCCGGGAAAAAACCCAAAACGACGUUCUCUUCACCAUUUUCCAUGCUGGGAUCGUCUUCAUCUCUACACCACCAUUAUUACUACAGCUGGAAACAGAAAUCUCUGGGAUUCUUUGUACCAAGAAGAAGGUGCUAAGGACACUUCUCACAGAUUCUAAACGAACGAGUAUGUCAAAUUAGUUUUUGAUACUUGUAUACUGCUAAUGACUACUUAGAAUAAAGGACACAUUAAUCAAGCCCACAAUCACUCUUACCCAUCAACCACUGGUGAUGGGACUUGGCAAUAGCAUACGUAUCAAUAUCUGUUACAGAAAGAUCUCUUGCUUAUGUUGGUAUCUUGGUUUUAAAUAGCCAUCGCUUUGGUCGCCAUGGCGCGAGGCGAGGUGUAGCGGUGACCUCGUCGCUUCAUCAUCUCAAAGCCAAGCGAGGUACACAUAGCGAUCGCUAUUGAACGCUUUAGUAGUACUCCCUCCGUUCCUAAAAUAUCUAUAUUCUAGAGAAAAUUUUUGUUUCAAAAAGAUACAUAUUUUAUAUUUCCAAUGUAAUUUUUGUCAACUAAUAAUGAGAAAUUGUGAAGUCCAAGAACAUUAAUUGCAUUUUUUUAAGA